rnacentral:rRNA from 1 species
AUACGGAGGGUGCAAGCGUUAUUCGGAAUCACUGGGCGUAAAGGACGCGUAGGCGGGUUGGCAAGUCAGAUGUGAAAUCCUACAGCUUAACUGUAGAACUGCAUUUGAAACUGCUAACCUAGAGUAUGGGAGGGGGAGAUGGAAUUAGUGGUGUAGGGGUAAAACCCGUAGAUAUCACUAGGAAUACCGAAAGCGAAGGCGAUCUCCUGGAACAUAACUGACGCUAAGGCGUGAAAGCGUGGGGAGCAAACAGGAUUAGAAACCCCAGUAGUCC